UACGGAGGGAGCUAGCGUUGUUCGGAAUUACUGGGCGUAAAGCGCGCGUAGGCGGCUUUGUAAGUUAGAGGUGAAAGCCCGGGGCUCAACCCCGGAAUUGCCUUUAAGACUGCAUCGCUUGAAUCCGGGAGAGGUGAGUGGAAUUCCGAGUGUAGAGGUGAAAUUCGUAGAUAUUCGGAAGAACACCGGUGGCGAAGGCGGGUCUCUGGGCCGUAACUGACGCUGAGGAGCGAAAGCAUGGGGAGCGAACAGG
rnacentral:rRNA from 1 species